GAUUUCGAGCAGUCGCGGUUAACUUAUGUUAGCUGAGGAAAGUCCACGCACACACAAGCUGCGAUGCUUGUAGUGAUCGUAUUCAGCCCAAUAAGCUGGAGGAUCUUUUUACUAAGAUAACGGCGGAGAAAGCGCUAAGUCAUUGAUAUGCGUUAAUAUCCUUGAAAGUGCCACAGUGACGUAGCAAGAUUGGAAACGAUCUUGGUGGAACGAGGUAAACCCUGCGAGUGUGCAACCCAAAUUUGGUGGGGGCGUUUCGAUCUAAGAAAAUGAACUAAAGAUCGGAUUAUGUUAAAACAUAAAGAUAGAUGGCUGCUGAAGGUGAUUUUGCCAGAAUCAUUGGAACAAAACGUGGCUUAUAGAA
rnacentral:RNase_P_RNA from 1 species